rnacentral:rRNA from 1 species
UUUGACUGUGCAAAGGUAGCAUAAUCAUUAGUUUUUUUAUUGAAAGCUGGAAUGAAGGGUCGGAUGAGAAAGUUUCUGUCUCAGUAUUAUUUUAUUUGAAUUUUAUUUUUAAGUUAAAAAGCUUAAAUUUUAUAAAAAGACGAGAAGACCCUAUAGAGUUUAAUAGAUUUAUACUACAGUUAUUUAUAGGUUUUAAUUUAAUUGUUUUAUAGUUUAUUUGGUUGGGGUGACUUAAGAAUUGGUUUAACUUCUUAAAAUAGUAACAUUGAUUAAUGAGCCGUUGAUCCUAUGUUUUGGAUUAUAAGAAUAAAUUACCUUAGGGAUAACAGCGUAAUUCUUUUAGAGAGUUCUUAUCGAUAAAAGGGAUUGCGACCUCGAUGUUGGAUUAAAGUUAAAUCUUGGUGCAAGAGCUAAGGGUUUA